AAACAGUUGUUUUUCACCUGAUAUUGCUGUUCCUAAGUGGUUGUAUUUACGUCAAACAUGCACACGUGUGGUAAUACCUAUACCGGAUUUUCGAUCCAAUAUUCAUAAAAAUUCGUUGCUUUGGAUUAAAUGGAAUGAUUUUUUUGUGCAAUUCAAUCGUUAUUGUUAAACUUGCAGGUAAAUACCAGAGUAGGUAAUCAGUUUGAUUGUACUUAAUUGUAAUUCGACCGUGCAUCAUUAAUUCAUUAUCGUAGACAUAUUAUUAUGUUUGGAAAAUUGUUAAAAGCUUGGUUCUUCAGUAUUUUAGUCAUUUUUUUGUUAAAUUUUGAUCGAAUCAAUUGUGUUGUGCCACAACCUCCGCCGUCAAGUAAUCAUCAACCAAGUGCUAAACCCCCAUCAGGUCAACCAAUAACCGGCGGCGGACCAAAUGGUAUGGUUAAUUUAUCUCCGAACCAUAUUUCCAAAGUGAAUUAUUUUAUAUAUUGAACUCGAUAUUAGUACAAAUGUUCUAAUAAACUGUUAGGUAACCUAAUUCUUCUUGUUAAAUUUUGUAUCAAUUUAAUUGGAACCUGUCAAGUUUACUAUUUAUGUAGGGCAUCUAUUCAAAUUCUGAAGAAAAACUAGACAGCUUAGCUGCAAAGUGUGCGUAGCUAGCUGCCUUUUCUACAGCUAUAACCGUUAUUAGUUAUUACAUCUAGGUAGUGCAUAAGUGAAUCAACCAUGUCACAGUAAUGUGAAUUUUUGAAACUCUCACUGCUUCAAAAUAAUAAUUGUUUUUCAGUGUUUUCAUAUUUUCCAAAUUACGAUAGGUAUUUCAGAAUAAUUUAUAAGCUUGUAUUGCUUCUAAAUUAAGAAAUUUCUAGUUGUUUUUCAUAGUUUGCAUUGUUUUAAAAUUUACAAAAUUUCAAAUCAAUUUCCCGAAUUCCCCAUCGCUACAAUUUCAUAAAGUUUUCAAUAAAUUUUCAGAAUUUUGCAUUGCUGCUGAGUUAGGAAAUUUGCAAUCAUUUUUUAGAAUUCACAUUGCCUCUAAAUAGUCAAAUUUUGAAUAAUUUUUCAGAAUUCUUAUUGAGAAGGCAGGAGAUUGCAAAUCGACGUGUUAGGAGUAAGUGAGACCCGAUGGACUGGAAACGGUAGAUACCGGGUAGAUGAAAAUUAUGAAAUGAUCUUCGCUGGGAAAGACACACACGAACAAGGUGUGGGUAUAUUAAUACAUACCAGAAUCAGCGAUAAAAUCAGUGCCAUAAUUCCAAAAUCAGAGAGGAUACUACUCGUGAGAUUGGAGGUCAAGCCAAAACCAAUGGUGAUAAAAUCAAAUCACGGAUUGGAAUGGCAAAGACUGCUUUCAACAACCUUGCCAAUGUGCUGGGAAAUCGAACGAUGAGUAUUGAUCUGAGGAAGAGAAUUAUGCGAUGCUACGUAUGGACCGUUCUGAAGUAUUCCUGCGAAACAUGGACCAUGAGUGCAGAAUGCGAGAAGAAAGUAUCCGCUUUUGAGAUGUGGUGCUAUCGAAGGCUACUACGGAUCUCAUGGAAGGACUUCGUUACCAACAAGGAA